UACGGAAGGUCCGAGCGUUAUCCGGAUUUAUUGGGUUUAAAGGGUGCGUAGGCGGGAGGACAAGUCAGCCGUGAAAUCGCGUGGCUCAACCACGUCGAGCGGUUGAAACUGUCUUUCUUGAGUACGGUGAGGGAAGGCGGAAUUCGUGGUGUAGCGGUGAAAUGCAUAGAUAUCACGAAGAACUCCGAUCGCGCAGGCAGCUUUCCGUCCCGCAACUGACGCUGAGGCACGAAGGUGCGGGUAUCAAACA
rnacentral:rRNA from 1 species